UCUAGAGCUGAAGACUAGAGCAGAAGAUGAUGGUGGGGACAGAUGAGCCUGUGACAAGAUAGAUUGAAUAGUAGUAUCUCUGAAGCCCUGGUGUGCUGAUUGUCAGGCGAGGUUCCAGAGCUCUGGCACCGGAAGUGGUCGACUCGCGGAGCUUCGCUAUUGUCACCCAGGCUGUAGUGCGAUGGUACGGUCUCGGCUCACUGCAACUGCCGCCUCCCAGGUUCAAGUGAUUCUCCUGCUUCAGCCUCCCAAGUAGUUGGGACUACAGAAGUGAUUGAGCAAGGGAUCCAGAAAGCAGAGGAUGUGCCGGGAAGGCCACCGGGACGUGUGAGCAGCAGCCCUGAGAGCAGCAGGGAGCCUGGAACGAAGGCUGGAGGGCCCUGGAGGGAAGGUGUGUCCUGUUUCAGCAGUAGAAUGUUUAUAUCAAUAGUGAAAUUAUAAAGAAAAAUGAAAAAGUGAUUUAAAAGUCAGGAUACAGGUUACCUCUAAAAAGGAGGUGUGGACUGUAAUGGGGCAGGAGCUUCUGAGGUGCUGACAAUGUUUUAUUUUGUGAUCUGAGUUUGUUUCAAAACAUGAAUGUUUGGUGUAUAACUAUUUGUAACUUCCUUUCUCUAUAUAUAUACACACAUGUAUACACAAACACACAUUCUGUUUUCUGUGCAUAUAUUU